rnacentral:rRNA from 1 species
UACGGAGGAUGCAAGCGUUAUCCGGAUUUAUUGGGUUUAAAGGGUGCGCAGGCGGAAGAUUAAGUCGGUGGUGAAAUUUUGCAGCUUAACUGUAACAGUGCCGUUGAUACUGGGGAGCUAGGAUUUGGUUGCUGUGGGUGGAAUGUGUGGUGUAGCGGUGAAAUGCUUAGAGAUCACACAGAAUAUCGAUUGCGAAGGCAGCUCACAAAGCCAAGAUUGACGCUGAGGCACGAAAGUGUGGGGAUCAAACAGGAUUA